rnacentral:lncRNA from 1 species
GUGAAGCGGCGAUUACUUUAAGUUCUAUCAAUAGUCGUGGCUAUAAUCCUUUAGUGAUAAUGAGAAGUGUAAUUUAUGUUUCAUUCAUUAAGUGUGAGAUAUAGAGGAGUGUUUUUUUUUUUUUUUUUUUUUUUAGGAAAAAUAUAAAAUCAACCAGAGUUUACAUCAAAAGAAAGAGCCCCGCGCAAAGGUAAAGGGCGAGGAAAAACGUAAAGCAAACUUAGCUAAACUAUCAGCUAUAGCAUUCCCCUCUCUAGGAGUCUAG